GCACAUCAGAUCAAUAGCUCAGUCAGUAGAGCCUGAGACUCUUAAUCUCAGGGUUGUGGGUUUGAGCCCCAAGUUGGGCA
rnacentral:tRNA from 1 species